CACACUCGCCUCGGAUGUGAUACGCACACAAUAACAGUAUGUAUAGGUCAUAUUUUAUUUUAAAAAUUUUAAAAUUAAAACGUGAAGAUGAUGUGGCGUUUGAAAGAAGAUAUUGAUUCGGAUACUUUGUACAAUAACGAUGAGGAAAUCGGCGCUAGUAGGCCCUACAGGUCUGUGUCCGCCCUGAAGAAGAUCUUCAUUUUUUGAAGGUGAAGCUACAAUAUUUGUCUUGAACUUGACUUUACUAGCUGGGCUUAUAAAGACAAGAUAUCCAGAAGUGAUUUCAUAGAGAAAUGGAAAUCAAUAAUACCUAGAAGCAUGUGAAGUGGAGAUGAAGUGAUGCUGAGAACUUUCAAGGAAACUUCUCAGUGAAAUACGAUGAUGGCACACAAGAGUACCUUCUUCAUGUUCUUCAUGGGAUAAAGCACAGGAUCAUUAUAAUCAGGAGUUACUCACAGGAUCAUUAUAAUCAGGAGUUACUCACAGGAUCAUUAUAAUCAGGAGUUACUCACAGGAUCAUUAUAAUCAGGAGUUACUAGUACUCAGUCAACAUAGACUCAAUUUUAGAAAAGAAUUUAAUGGAUAUUAAUGUUAGCUUAAAAAUAUUUGACCUAGAGUCUUUAGUUUGUGUUGGGGCCCCCAUGUCCUUUGGAUACUUUUCUAGUUACAAUUUAUUUAGACAUUAGUGUAAAUACAACAAAAUUAAUUAUUUAAUGCUGUUCAUGUUUGAACUAUGUUUUAAUCUUACCUACAUGUAUAAAAAUCAAACAUUUUUAGCUCGAUUAUUUGAUAAGAAUAAGUAUAGCUAUUGUAGUCACCCGAGUGGCGGCGUAACCUCCUAUGUUAAAGUUUUUGUAAUACCACAAAUAUUUUCAAAGUCCGUUAUUAAGAUUUUUCUUGUUAUAAAUAAAUGUUCCGCCGGCAGAACAGAAUCACUUAUGAUUAUCUCCUAUGUUUAAAUUGAUGUUAUCAUAUUUAUGAUCCGUCAGCAGAACAAUUUCAAAUCAAUUUUAUUAAAUGAUAUUCUUUCUGAAUUAUAUUUUUAAUUAAACCUAAAAAGGUUGUUAAGAAUUUUCUUGUUAUAAAUAAAUGUUCCGCCGGCAGAACAGAAUCACUUAUGGUUAUAUCCUAUGUUUAAAUUGAUGUUAUCAAACUUAUGUUCCGCCGGCAGAACAAUUUCAAAUCAAUUUUAUUAAAUGAUAUUCUUUCUGAAUUAUAUUUUUGAUUAAACCUAAAAAGGUUAUUAAGAUUUUUCUUGUUAUAAAUAAAUGUUCCGCCGGCAGAACAGAAUCACUUAUGGUUAUUUCCUAUGUUUAAAUUGAUGUUAUCAAACUUAUGUUCCGCCGGCAGAACAAUUUCAAAUCAAUUUUAUUAAAUGAUAUUCUUUCUGAAUUAUAUUUUUGAUUAAACCUAAAAAGGUUAUUAAGAUUUUUCUUGUUAUAAAUAAAUGUUCCGCCGGCAGAACAGAAUCACUUAUGCUUAUAUCCUAUGUUUAAAUUGAUGUUAUCAUAUUUAUGUUCCGCCAGCAGAACAAUUUCAAAUCAAUUUUAUUAAAUGAUAUUCUUUCUGAAUUAUAUUUUUAAUUAAACCUAAAAAGGUUGUUAAGAAUUUUCUUGUUAUAAAUAAAUGUUCCGCCGGCAGAACAGAAUCACUUAUGGUUAUAUCCUAUGUUUAAAUUGAUGUUAUCAAACUUAUGUUCCGCCGGCAGAACAAUUUCAAAUCAAUUUUAUUAAAUGAUAUUCUUUCUGAAUUAUAUUUUUGAUUAAACCUAAAAAGGUUAUUAAGAUUUUUCUUGUUAUAAAUAAAUGUUCCGCCGGCAGAACAGAAUCACUUAUGGUUAUAUCCUAUGUUUAAAUUGAUGUUAUCAAACUUAUGUUCCGCCGGCAGAACAAUUUCAAAUCAAUUUUAUUAAAUGAUAUUCUUUCUGAAUUAUAUUUUUGAUUAAACCUAAAAAGGUUAUUAAGAUUUUUCUUGUUAGAAAUAAAUGUUCCGCCCGCAGAACAGAAUCACUUAUGGUUAUAUCCUAUGUUUAAAUUGAUGUUAUCAAACUUAUGUUCCGCCCGCAGAACAAUUUCAAAUCAAUUUUUAUUAAAUGAUAUUCUUUCUGAAUUAUAUUUUUGUUUAAACCUAAAAAGGUUGUUAAGAAUUUUAAUAUAUUGUAAUAAGUAAAUGUUCUGCCGGCGGAACAGGAUUUUUUAUGAAUUUAUAAAUUUUUCCUUUGCGUUAGAGUGAAUCAUAUUUCUGUUCUGCUGGCGGAACAAUUUCAAAUGAUUACAUUAUUUGAUUUUAAUUUAAGAAAUAUAUUUUUGACAAAAUUUUGCAAAGGUGUUAAAAAUUGUAUCUUGUAGUAAAUAAAUGUUCCGCCGGCAGAACAGAAUCACCUACGGUUUUAUCCUAUAGAUGUUUAAAUUGAUGUUAUCAUACUUUUGUUCCGCCGGCAGAACAAUUUCAAAUCAAUUUUAUUAAAUGAUAUUCUUUCUGAGUAAAAGUUAUAUUUUUGAUUAAACCUUUAAAGGUUGUUAAGAAUUUUGAUAUGUUGUUAUAAGUAAAUGUUCCGGAGGCGGAACAGGAAUUUUUAUGAUUCUAUCUUAUUUUUGCAUUCAUAUGGACUGGAAUCAUAUAUCUGUUCUGCUGGCGGAACAAUUCCAAUGAGUUCUUUUAUUUGAUUUUUACUUUAAGAAAUGCAUUUGUUACAAAAUCUUGCAAAGGUUGUUCAGAAUUGUGAUAUGUUGUAAUUAAUAAAUGUUCCGCCGGCAGAACAGAAUCACUUAUGGUUAUAACCUAGUAUGUUUUGAUACAUGUUUUCAUACUUAUGUUCCGCUGGCGGAACAAUUUAAGACUGAACUAUUUUGUAAAAUAACUUCAUAUAUGUUUUAUUUAAUGUUCCGCCGGCAGAACAUUUUAGCAUUUUUGGAUUCUUGCUAUCUCGCAGAAAGAACUGCUAAAUGUUCUGCUGGCGGAACAAAUCAUGAUUUAUUUGUGAUAAUAUGCUGUAUUUUUAUAACAAAAUGAAAUAAAUUUUGUGUUAAAUAUA